CCUGGUUGAUCUUGCCAGUAGUCAUAUGCUUGUCUCACAGAUUAAGCCAUGCAAGUGAAAGUACAUAUGUAAAUAAUAUAUUGAAACUGCGAACGGCUCAUUAAAACAGUUAUAAUCUACUUGAUGUUUUUAAUAUAAGGAUAACUACGGAAAAUCUGUAGCUAAUACUUGUGAAAAUACCUUUUGAUAUAUACAUAUGUAUGUAUCAUUAAGGUAUGUAUUUGUUAGAUAUAAGAAUAAAAUAAAUAUAAUUGAAUUAUAACAAAGAAGAAACACAUAAAAUAUGUGUAUUAUCAAUCGAGUAUCUGACCUAUCAGCUUUUUGAUGUUAGGGUAUUGACCUAACAUGGCUAUGACGGGUAACGGGGAAUUAGAGUUCGAUUCCGGAGAGGGAGCCUGAGAAAUAGCUACCACAUCUAAGGAAGGCAGCAGGCGCGUAAAUUACCCAAUUCUAAAAAAGAGAGGUAGUGACAAGAAAUAACAAUACAAUAUCGAAAAAUGAUUUUGUAAUUGGAAUGAUAGGAAUUUACAAGGUUCCUAGAGAAACAAUUGGAGGGCAAGUCUGGUGCCAGCAGCCGCGGUAAUUCCAGCUCCAAUAGCAUAUAUUAAAAUUGUUGCAGUUAAAACGUUCGUAGUUGAAUAUUAAAGAAUCCGAUGUUUCAUUUAAACUGGUUUGGGAAAACCAAAUGUAUUAUAUAUUUUGCUUUGUUCAAAAUAAGGUUUUCUAAUAAAUUAUGUUUUUAUCAGAUAUGACAGAAUCUUUUUUAAAAUCUCUUCAAUAUGCUUUUAUUGCUUUUGAGAGGUUUUGUUACUUUGAGUAAAAUUAAGUGUUCAUAACAGACGGGUAGUCAUGAUUGAGUUCAUUGUGUUUGAAUACUACAGCAUGGAAUAACAAAUAUGAAUAAGCUAAUUAUUUUUUUUUUUCAUAAUUUUUUUUGAUAUUCUUAUUAGCUUAGUUACGAUUAAUAGGAGUAGCUUUGGGGGCAUUCGUAUUCAGAUGUCAGAGGUGAAAUUCUAAGAUUUUCUGGAGACGGACUACUGCGAAAGCAUUUGCCUAAUCUAUUUCCAUUAAUCAAGAACGAAAGUUAAGGGAGUGAAGACGAUCAGAUACCGUCGUAAUCUUAACCAUAAACUAUACCGACUAGGUGUUGGAUGAAUAUAAAAAAUAUAUAAAUAUGUAGCAUUUCUUAGGGAAUGUUGAUUUUAUAUUAGAAUUGCUUCCUUCAGUACCUUAUGAGAAAUCAAAGUCUUUGGGUUCUGGGGCGAGUAUUCGCGCAAGCGAGAAAGUUAAAAGAAUUGACGGAAGGGCACCACCAGGCGUGGAGCUUGCGGCUUAAUUUGACUCAACACGGGAAAACUCACUAGUUUAAGACAAGAGUAGGAUUGACAGAUUAAUAGCUCUUUCUUGAUUUCUUGGAUGGUGAUGCAUGGCCGUUUUUAGUUCGUGAAUAUGAUUUGUCUGGUUAAUUCCGAUAACGAACGAGAUCUUAACCUGCUAAUUAGCGGUAAGUACACUAUAUUUUUAUUUGAAAUUGAAUAUAGGUAAUUAUACAUGUUUAUUCAGUGUUCAAAUUAGGAUAUUUUUUUAUUAAAAUAUUCUUUUCCCUGUUCUACUAUAAUAAUUUGUUUUUUUUUACUCUAUUUCUCUCUUCUUUUAAGAAUGUACUUGUUUUGAUUAAAUAAAGCUUCUUAGAGGAACAGUGUGUAUCUAACACAAGGAAGUUUAAGGCAACAACAGGUCUGUGAUGUCCUUAGAUAAACUAGGCUGCACGCGUGCUACAAUGAUAUAUAUAACAAGUUGUUAAAAAUGUACUUAUAAAUAAGUGUGUACAGUUUUUCCUGUACUGAAAAGUAUAGGUAAUCUUUAUCAGUAUAUAUCGUAAUUGGGAUAGAUUAUUGCAAUUAUUAAUCUUGAACGAGGAAUGCCUAGUAAGCAUGAUUCAUUAGAUUGUGCUGACUACGUCCCUGCCCUUUGUACACACCGCCCGUCGCUCCUACCGAUUGAAAGAUAUGAUGAAUUGUUUGGAUAUGAAUUAAAAUAAUGAAAUUUUAUAUUUCUGAUUUUUUCUAGAAGAACUGUAAAUCCUAUCUUUUAAAGGAAGGAGAAGUCGUAACAAGGUUUUCCGUAGGUGAACCUGC
rnacentral:rRNA from 1 species